UACGGAGGGUGCGAACGUUAAUCGGAAUCACUGGGCGUAAAAGCGCGCGUAGGCGGUCUGUUAAGUGGGAUGUGAAAUCCCCGGGCUUAACCUGGGAAUUGCAUUUCAAACUGGCCGACUAGAGUACGGUAGAGGGAGGUAGAAUUUCCUGUGUAGCGGUGAAAUGCGUAGAUAUAGGAAGGAAUACCAGUGGCGAAGGCGGCCUCCUGGAUCGAUACUGACGCUGAGGCGCGAAAGCGUGGGGAGCAAACAGG
rnacentral:rRNA from 1 species